UGCGCAGGCGGCCGUGUGUGUGAGGCGUGAAAGCCCGGAGCUCAACUCCGGAAUUGCACCUCAAACUACACGGCUAGAGCAUUGGAGAGGGUAGCAGAAUUCACGGUGUAGCAGUGAAGUGCGUAGAUAUCGUGAGGAAUACCAGAGGCGAAGGCGGCUACCUGGACAAUUGCUGACGCUCAGGCACGAAAGCGUGGGGAGCAAAAGGGAUUAGAUACCCCUGUAGUCCACGCCCUAAACGGUGCACACUAGGUCUUGGCGGAUUCGACCCCACCAGGGCCCAAGCUAACGCGUUAAGUGUGCCGCCUGAGGACUACGGCCGCAAGGCUAAA
rnacentral:rRNA from 1 species